rnacentral:tRNA from 1 species
UGCCAGAUAGCUCAUUUGGUAAAGCACUUGGCUAGAGAUUCAGCGGGUCCAGGUUCGAGUUCUGGUCUGGUCC